GGUGGGGAUUAGUGGCGAACGGGUGAGUAACACGUGGGCAAUCUGCCCUUCACUCUGGGACAAGCCCUGGAAACGGGGUCUAAUACCGGAUAACACUUCUGCUCUCAUGGGCAGGGGUUAAAAGCUCCGGCGGUGAAGGAUGAGCCCGCGGCCUAUCAGCUUGUUGGUGAGGUAAUGGCUCACCAAGGCGACGACGGGUAGCCGGCCUGAGAGGGCGACCGGCCACACUGGGACUGAGACACGGCCCAGACUCCUACGGGAGGCAGCAGUGGGGAAUAUUGCACAAUGGGCGAAAGCCUGAUGCAGCGACGCCGCGUGAGGGAUGACGGCCUUCGGGUUGUAAACCUCUUUCAGCAGGGAAGAAGCGAAAGUGACGGUACCUGCAGAAGAAGCGCCGGCUAACUACGUGCCAGCAGCCGCGGUAAUACGUAGGGCGCAAGCGUUGUCCGGAAUUAUUGGGCGUAAAGAGCUCGUAGGCGGCUUGUCACGUCG
rnacentral:rRNA from 1 species